rnacentral:rRNA from 1 species
UACGGGGGUCCCAAGCGUUGUUCGGAUUCACUGGGCGUAAAGGGUGCGUAGGUGGUCAGAUAAGUCUGAUGUGAAAUCUUCGAGCCUAACUCGGAAACUGCAUUAGAUACUAUCUGGCUAGAGGAAUGGAGGGGAGACUGGAAUGCUCGGUGUAGCAGUGAAAUGCGUAGAUAUCGAGCGGAACACCAGUGGCGAAGGCGAGUCUCUGGACAUUUCCUGACGCUGAGGCACGAAAGCCAGGGGAGCAAACGGG